rnacentral:rRNA from 1 species
CGGCAGACGGGUGAGUAACACGUAAACAAUCUGCCCUCGAAUGGGAGACAACCGGGCGAAAGUCUGGCUAAUACCCCAUAUAAUCCACCUGGAGCAUUCCUAGUGGAUGAAAGGCCCGCAAGGGUCGUUCGAGGAGGAGUUUGCGGCCUAUCAGCUAGUUGGCGGUGUAAUAGACCACCAAGGCUAUGACGGGUAUCCGAUCUAAAAGGAUGACCGGACACAAGGGCACUGAGACACGGGCCCUACUCCUACGGGAGGCAGCAGUGGGGAAUUUUGGACAAUGGACGAAAGUCUGAUCCAGCGACGCCCCGUGAAGGACGAAGGUUUUCGGAUCGUAAACUUCUUUUGCAGGGGACGAAAGAGCGCAAGCUUUUGACGGUACUCUGCGAAUAAGCCACGGCUAACUACGUGCCAGCAGCCGCGGUAAUACGUAGGUGGCGAGCGUUACUCGGAAUUACUAGGCGUAAAGCGAGUGUAGGCGGGAGCUUAAGUCCGCUGUUAAAUCUCAUGGCUCAACCAUGAAAUGCCGGCGGAUACUGGGUUUCUUGAAUUCGGUAGAGGAAACUGGAAUUCCAGGUGUAGCGGUGAAAUGCGUAGAUAUCUGGAAGAACGCCAAAGGCGAAGGCAGGUUUCUGGGCCGCAAUUGACGCUGAGACUCGAAAGCUAGGGGAGCAAACAGGAUUAGAUACCCUGGUAGUCCUAGCCGUAAACGAUGUAGACCAGGUGUGGGAGGUAUCGACCCCUUCCGUGCCGACGCUACGCAUUAAGUCUACCGCCUGGGGAGUACGGCCGCAAGGUUAAAACUCAAGGAAUUGACGGGGGCCCGCACAAGCGGUGGAUCAUGUGGUUUAAUUCG